AGAACCAGAAGAACUGUGUGGAGUGGCAGCAACUGGAGGAAGCAGAAUGUCCCCGAGCAAGAUUGUCAAGAGAAAAAAGUUACAUGUAUAAAAUCUACAGUAGAAUUGGAAGAUGGAUCUAAUGAGAAUAACACUAAGGAAACACCAUCCUUCAAAAACUAAAAGCUCCUUGAUGAGACAAGAAAAUGAAGUGUCCCAGAAGAGGAAAUGCAGUGAAGGAAGACAAGAUUUUCUUGAACAAUGGAUGCAUUUGGCGGACCAAAUCUCAAUAUCUUCAGAUCUCUAACAUUGGUUGGUACUACAUGGGGAUACAUUGGAAAUAAGGCAUCAAUUCUGGGAAAACAUUUUGCUCAGAAAACUGAAACUCACUCUUAAGUAGAUUAUCUCAAAAGCAAGGCUUUUGGAAAUCUCAUUGUGGUUAUAGAUGCAAAUUUAAAGCUAAUGUUUUAUCUACCAAAUAUAAAGCUCAUGUUUUAUCAUCA
rnacentral:lncRNA from 1 species